rnacentral:rRNA from 1 species
UUUAUGGAGAGUUUGAUCCUGGCUCAGGAUGAACGCUGGCGGCGUGCCUAAUACAUGCAAGUCGAGCGAACGGACGAGAAGCUUGCUUCUCUGAUGUUAGCGGCGGACGGGUGAGUAACACGUGGAUAACCUACCUAUAAGACUGGGAUAACUUCGGGAAACCGGAGCUAAUACCGGAUAAUAUUUUGAACCGCAUGGUUCAAAAGUGAAAGACGGUCUUGCUGUCACUUAUAGAUGGAUCCGCGCUGCAUUAGCUAGUUGGUAAGGUAACGGCUUACCAAGGCAACGAUGCAUAGCCGACCUGAGAGGGUGAUCGGCCACACUGGAACUGAGACACGGUCCAGACUCCUACGGGAGGCAGCAGUAGGGAAUCUUCCGCAAUGGGCGAAAGCCUGACGGAGCAACGCCGCGUGAGUGAUGAAGGUCUUCGGAUCGUAAAACUCUGUUAUUAGGGAAGAACAUAUGUGUAAGUAACUGUGCACAUCUUGACGGUACCUAAUCAGAAAGCCACGGCUAACUACGUGCCAGCAGCCGCGGUAAUACGUAGGUGGCAAGCGUUAUCCGGAAUUAUUGGGCGUAAAGCGCGCGUAGGCGGUUUUUUAAGUCUGAUGUGAAAGCCCACGGCUCAACCGUGGAGGGUCAUUGGAAACUGGAAAACUUGAGUGCAGAAGAGGAAAGUGGAAUUCCAUGUGUAGCGGUGAAAUGCGCAGAGAUAUGGAGGAACACCAGUGGCGAAGGCGACUUUCUGGUCUGUAACUGACGCUGAUGUGCGAAAGCGUGGGGAUCAAACAGGAUUAGAUACCCUGGUAGUCCACGCCGUAAACGAUGAGUGCUAAGUGUUAGGGGGUUUCCGCCCCUUAGUGCUGCAGCUAACGCAUUAAGCACUCCGCCUGGGGAGUACGACCGCAAGGUUGAAACUCAAAGGAAUUGACGGGGACCCGCACAAGCGGUGGAGCAUGUGGUUUAAUUCGAAGCAACGCGAAGAACCUUACCAAAUCUUGACAUCCUUUGACAACUCUAGAGAUAGAGCCUUCCCCUUCGGGGGACAAAGUGACAGGUGGUGCAUGGUUGUCGUCAGCUCGUGUCGUGAGAUGUUGGGUUAAGUCCCGCAACGAGCGCAACCCUUAAGCUUAGUUGCCAUCAUUAAGUUGGGCACUCUAAGUUGACUGCCGGUGACAAACCGGAGGAAGGUGGGGAUGACGUCAAAUCAUCAUGCCCCUUAUGAUUUGGGCUACACACGUGCUACAAUGGACAAUACAAAGGGCAGCGAAACCGCGAGGUCAAGCAAAUCCCAUAAAGUUGUUCUCAGUUCGGAUUGUAGUCUGCAACUCGACUACAUGAAGCUGGAAUCGCUAGUAAUCGUAGAUCAUCAUGCUACGGUGAAUACGUUCCCGGGUCUUGUACACACCGCCCGUCACACCACGAGAGUUUGUAACACCCGAAGCCGGUGGAGUAACCUUUUAGGAGCUAGCCGUCGAAGGUGGGACAAAUGAUUGGGGUGAAGUCGUAACAAGGUAGCCGUAUCGGAAGGUGCGGCUGGAUCACCUCCUUUCU